UCCCCCCUCUGUCGGCGUGCUUAACACAUGCAAGUCGAACGGAAAGGCCCUGCUUUUGUGGGGUGCUCGAGUGGCGAACGGGUGAGUAACACGUGAGUAACCUGCCCUUGACUUUGGGAUAACUUCAGGAAACUGGGGCUAAUACCGGAUAGGAGCUCCUGCUGCAUGGUGGGGGUUGGAAAGUUUCGGCGGUUGGGGAUGGACUCGCGGCUUAUCAGCUUGUUGGUGGGGUAGUGGCUUACCAAGGCUUUGACGGGUAGCCGGCCUGAGAGGGUGACCGGCCACAUUGGGACUGAGAUACGGCCCAGACUCCUACGGGAGGCAGCAGUGGGGAAUAUUGCGCAAUGGGCGGAAGCCUGAUGCAGCAACGCCGCGUGAGGGAUGACGGCCUUCGGGUUGUAAACCGCUUUCGCCUGUGACGAAGCGUGAGUGACGGUAAUGGGUAAAGAAGCACCGGCUAACUACGUG
rnacentral:rRNA from 1 species